AAACAAAAACACGUUCUGUAAGAUAAUAUUGAGACAUUAAACAUUGUUUUAGCUCAUGAAAACAGCCUCUGGGAUAUGCACUCGUUUCAUUAAUUAAAUAUAUACAAAAUAAGAAUUGUUAUUAUUAAAAGUUUUAUAGAUGUUAGUGUCACAAAUAGAAAUGUGUGUAUCUUGUGAAUGAGUGAUGAGUUGGCAUGCAACACUCCCCUCCCGUCCCCCCUCACAAACACACAAACUAGACAAUACGAGGAGUCUGCACGCACUCGGACAAGGAAAGGUUAAAGUCUAUAUAGGAAAAUUAAUCUGAUAUUAUUUACGGUAUUCUUGUAUUCUGUACAUGCAUAUUUAAUUCGAUAAAUAAGUC
rnacentral:lncRNA from 1 species